ensembl:lncRNA
GCCCAGUCCCUGUCCACGGCCCAUAACCCUUCUGAACGCCUGUCGCACUCUCCUGGCCCCACUGCUCUAGUGGCCACAGAGAAACUGGAAUGGGGUGGUGACAAUGACAAAGGAGGCCCAAAGCUCCAACCAGGGCAGAACACUGGGUGGCAACCACCACGGAAGCCCUGCAGCAGCCCCUGCAGUCAACUGUCUCUCCUUUCCCGGUUGUGGGCACAGCACAUGAGGAACAGGACAUGUGUCUACCCUGAGCCUGUACCACGGCUGCACUUUGGGAGCACACCAUUUGAUGGCACAGGUUUACAACUGGAGAGGAAUUUGCCUCAGGGUGAAUUGUAUUUUGAGUUUCAUCUGCAACUGACUUAGAUGAUAAGGCAAAAUGUGCUCCUUGAGGUUCAGGUGAUGACUGACAGGUGCAGACCUCUGCAUGGAGGUGAGGAGGAACUUCCAGGAGGACAGAGAGAGCCUGGUCAGAGCUGGCAUGAGGCCUCUGCAGUACCUGUGUGGGAAGAUCCGAGGCUGAAGGGAAAGCCAGGGCUGAGGGGACAGAAGUGGGGGCAGCUGGUGCCAUGACCCAUCAGUGUCCCAUGGACUAUCCCAAGGCAACUGACUUCUCCUUACUAUCUCCUAUCUGAUCUCAAGUCCUAAAUUGUGGAGAACCAGGCCCUCAGAGAGGCUGCUGUGGCCGGUAAAACAGGGGCUAGGCUGGCUGCUUUCAAAGAGGAGGGCGGCGGGGAUAUGAAGAGCUAAAGAAGCUUUUGGACUGUCCCAGAGACAGAACAAGCCCCUCACACAGGUUUUUUCUUUAGUGACCCCAUUCCGCCCCAUGGAUGUCACUUUUUUUUUUUCUUUUUUCUUUUCCUUGUUCCUUUUCUUUUUCGGCGCUUUCUGGGAGGGGGAGCAAAGCGAGGGAGGUGGGAAGAGACUUUUUUUCACAUGAGUCCUCAGAAUUACAGUUCACAAACUAUUCAGUAAACUGACCGGCCUCAACCUCCCCUUCAACGGCCUAAUCUAAGGGGUGGAUCUAUGUGUUUUGUUGCUUGUCAGAAACAAUCGCGGCGCGGCCCAUUACAUUUACAGCACGUCGCCCUUUAAUUGGUGUAACACGCUGAGGCCUGAAAGGAGGAGAGGCCCACAAAGGCGCCGUGAAUGAGCCUUGACUCACACAAAAACACUCUGCAGAAGUUCAGAGCCGGCCACUAACAAGGAGGGCCGUUCCCUGCUCCUGGGCUGCGUGUUGCGACCUAGGCCCGUGCACAGGAGACCCUGAAGAAGCUGCACCCGAGCGCAAUGAAGACGAGGGUAAGCGCGCCAUGUGGACGCCUUUGCAUCAGGAUGCCAGGAAUUCGCCCACUCUCGGUGGAGGCCACAAGGCCGGCCUCGCUAGGCCCCCUCUCUGCUGCCCAACCCUCGCCUGCCUUCCUUCGAGGGGGCUACCGAGUCUCCCGCGCCAGGGUGGACACCUCCACUCCCCCUUGCCCCCGGGGACGCACCGAGCGCCUGCACCCUCCUCGGCUCGCCCCCUCCCGGCCUUUGUGUGGUGCGGGACCCCGGCCCGCCGCCCCUGUGAACCGCCUGCCCCGCGCGGAGGCGGGGGCACUUUUCAAUGCCUCGCCGCAGCUCCCUCCAGAUUUGUAAUCCGCCAAAAAGCCGCUGAUUGCUGCAAUCGUUACUUUUCAUUAAAAAAACUUAGAAGC